rnacentral:rRNA from 1 species
UGCAGUGGGUACGGGCAGACUAGAGUGCGGUAGGGGAGAUUGGAAUUCCUGGUGUAGCGGUGGAAUGCGCAGAUAUCAGGAGGAACACCGAUGGCGAAGGCAGAUCUCUGGGCCGUAACUGACGCUGAGGAGCGAAGGCAUGGGGAGCGAACAGGAUUAGAUACCCUGGUAGUCCAUGCCGUAAACGUUGGGAACUAGAUGUAGGGGCCAUUCCACGGCUUCUGUGUCGCAGCUAACGCAUUAAGUUCCCCGCCUGGGGAGUACGGCCGCAAGGCUAAAACUCAAAGGAAUUGACGGGGGCCCGCACAAGCGGCGGAGCAUGCGGAUUAAUUCGAUGCAACGCGAAGAACCUUACCAUGGCUUGACAUAUACCGGAAAAGUUCAGAAAUGUUCUCCCCGCAAGGUCGGUAUACAGGUGGUGCAUGGUUGUCGUCAGCUCGUGUCGUGAGAUGUUGGGUUAAGUCCCGCAACGAGCGCAACCCUCGUUCUAUGUUGCCAGCACGUAAUGGUGGGAACUCAUAGGAGACUGCCGGGGUCAACUCGGAGGAAGGUGGGGAUGACGUCAAAUCAUCAUGCCCCUUAUGUCUUGGGCUUCACGCAUGCUACAAUGGCCGAUACAAAGGGCUGCAAUACCGCAAGGUGGAGCGAAUCCCAAAAAGUCGGUCUCAGUUCGGAUUGAGGUCUGCAACUCGACCUCAUGAAGUCGGAGUCGCUAGUAAUCGCAGAUCAGCAACGCUGCGGUGAAUACGUUCCCGGGCCUUGUACACACCGCCCGUCAAGUCAUGAAAGUCGGUAACACCCGAAGCCAGUGGCCCAACCGCAAGGAGGGAGC